GGCUGGUCCAAGUGCAGUGAUAUUUACGACUAAUUGAUCACAGUCAUAGAUUUCUUUGUUCCUUCUCCACUUGUCCUGCUUCACUUGAUGAGCCUCAA
rnacentral:Y_RNA from 1 species